GGAAUGUCUCAAAGCCGUCUAAAGAAAUUUGCUGUUCCAACUUUAUUGAUGUCAGACAAUUCCAUGAUGGAAGUUGAAGCUACUAUUCCUGCUGUUCCUAUUACAUCUGAAGCGGUUUCAGAAUCUACUUCACCAGAUGUAAUUGCUAUUCCAUCAACAUCCAAGGAAGUUACAUCUGAAGCUGUUUCGGAAUCUACUUCACCAGAUGUAAUCGCUAUUCCAUCAACAUCCAAGGAAGUUACAUCUGAAGGUCAGUAAAAUAUUUUAUAAACACAAGGCUGAAUACAGGGUGGCGCACCUCAUUCAUCUUGGUUGAUUAUACGAAAACGUAAAGAUAUAGAAACAAAAUAUUUUAUGGGUAUAUGUGGAAAGACAAUGUACUUAAUUUAAAAUUAUUUUAAAAUGUACAGGGUGUGUCAGGACUAAGAUCCAUACCAAAGUUAUAUUUUUUCUUAUGGAACACACGGUAUUUUAUUUCACUUUGGGAUUCUUGGACAUAAAAUAAGGUAUUUAUUAUAAGGGUUUAAUAUGUUUAAAAGGUUUGGUUUUUGAGAUAUUUAAAUACAUUUAAAUAUGCAUGUUAUAAUAACAAAGUUU